UACGUAGGGUGCAAGCGUUAAUCGGAAUUACUGGGCGUAAAGCGUGCGCAGGCGGUGAUGUAAGACAGGUGUGAAAUCCCCCGGGCUUAACCCGGGAACUGCAUUUGUGACUGCAUCGCUGGAGUGCGGCAGAGGGGGAUGGAAUUCCGCGUGUAGCAGUGAAAUGCGUAGAUAUGCGGAGGAACACCGAAGGCGAAGGCAGUCUC
rnacentral:rRNA from 1 species